UGCAGCGCGUUUCUGUAUUUGGUUGUGUUGUGAGUAUUUGGAGUACACGUGUGCUGUGAAACUGAUGAAGAUGUUUUCUUAAUUUGCUGGUGUUUUUUUCUAUUUGCAUUGGUUUUUUUUCUUUUUGCAUGCGUUUUUUUCUAUUUGCAUGCGUUUUUUUCUAUUUGCAUGCGUCUUCUUUAGGUUGCAGCACGUUGAGCUCUCUCGGCCACCGUAGGUCCUGGACAGUGUACAAUAGUACACAUUUUGGAUGUCUUCCUUAUCUGGCACCAGUCUUGGAGUCCCUCUACUAACAAGCUGUAGAGUCUAAGCUGUCUGAUGACUGACAAUGAUUGAGUGGCAAAAGAAAGCAAGAAGUCCUCACAGCCAAGUCGAGGAGUUCAUGAGACACACACCAACUCAACAAACUGCAGUGCGUGGAAUUGGUCCUCUGGAACAAAAACUAUCGAAGAAACCAUUAGAGAACAUCCCAGACUUCACAGUUUUCUUGGAAUGAUGUGCAAUUCCUGAGAUGAAGAUGAAGCUGUAGAGGGUACCUUUUACUGCCCAAAACUGGCUUCCUCGCUCCUCUGCUCUCACUACCCUCGAAGGCAGAGCGGCCCCUCACGCACUCCAGCAAGUCCAACAGGCCAAGGCUCUUAAAGAUCUGCAAUUGGGUAGUCCUGAUCCUGAUGUGCUGCAGGAACUGCGCUCGAUGACCGAACGGGCCUCCCGGGCCACGAAGGUCAUAGCGCCGGCACUCGGACAGGCGACGGCCACACUCGUGGUCCAGGAACAACAUCUGUGGCUGAACCUGGUCGAGAUGCGGGACCCCGACAAAGCCCACUUUCUCAACACCCCCAUCUCCCAGUUCAGCUUAUUCGGUUACACCGUUUGCCCAGCGGUCUUCGGCAGUGAGAAACGUCUUCCUCCGAGAGAAAGCCACUUCAGCCGCCCCUUGUGCCGUGCCUCCUUCCUACAGGAUUUCACCGCUGCAUCGGAGAGCGACAGAGUGGCGUCUGAUGCUGAUGACUUGACUGGGCUGCCACCUUCGGGUCUGCUCAUCCAGUCUGAGCCUGACACACAGAUGUCCGCUAUGCUUGCCUGGGCCGCCUUGAGCGAGGGACUGGCCUGGAACCCUUCGCCCCACCCACCCCUUACGGCUAGAUGAUUGGUUCCUCGGGUCAGGGUGCCCCUUACUAAUAUAGAUGGUUGAAGGAGAAAAUGAAAAAGACCAACGGACAGUAAUUGCUGUUUCAUUUAAAAAAUAUAUUUCUGAUAACAGUUUUAUAUAAACAAAAGGUUUAAAUUAUUUAAAUAUGUUUACAGAUACAUACAAGUACACAAGCAAAUGUACAUUAAUCACUUACCUUACUUUUACACUAUUUAAAUAUGUAAUUUUUAAAUGCCAUAUUACAGCAUAUGUGGGAUGUGGAACAGAUGUGUGGACAUUUACGGACUUCUCUUUAAGUGGUGCACAGGAAUAUAUGUGCUAGUGUGCGGCAGAGUUCGGAUGUGCUUUGGCUGGUGCGCGGAAGUGUUCGGAUGUGUUUACCCGAAAAUGUGGCACACUUUCCCUUAAACGUCCCUUAAACGUGUGCAGGCGUGUACAGCCCGGACAUCAGUCUUUUAUGCAGUGCACGUACACUUAUGAACAACCUUAUGUAAGAACAUGGUAUUUGUUAUGGCCAAUACAUGACUAGCACAGAAGUCGAAAAACAAAACACUGCUCGGGUUCAGAAUGGGCAGGCCGUUCCUUCCAAUCACUCCCCUCCAGAUUUCUCCAUUUAUUGCCAACAUGGGCGUUGAAGUCACCCAGCAGAAAUAUGAAGUCCCCAGGUGUCACCCCUUCCAGGACACCACUCAGGCCAGAUACUGCAAACUGCGGUUUUAUAAAAAAGUAACAUAAUUAUUGUACAAGUUGCAUAUUUACUAACACAUGCAGUUUUCAGUUUUCGUGCAGAGAGAGGGUGAGGACUCAAGCACAAAGUUAACAAAAAUAGGCUUUAUUGAAGAAGUCAACAAAACAAACAAAAACAACCCCAAAGGUGGAAAAAUCAUAGUCCAGGGCAACAGUCUUGAUGACGGGCUGGGCUGAAUAAGGAAUUCGCAAAGGCUGUGUGGCUCCAUGCCACACAACAGGAACAGACCAACAGACAGACAACUUAAGCAGGGAAUAGUCCACAAUGAACUGGAAUGGGACAGAAAACACAGGGAGGUUAAAAAGGGAAGGAAAUGAGGAGGGUAAUUAGGAAAGGCAGGUGCAGCAAAUGAAAUAAUAGCAAUGAAACAAGGGGGCGGGGUCUAGAAGAGAGACAGGAGAGAACAUGGCAAACAUACAUGACAGAGGCCAUGUGCUCACACCAAACACAAUGGCAAGACAGUUGUUCUAGAGCACAUGGCCAACGAAACCAUCACUGACCAUGUGUUCAAUCACAUAAACCACACCAGCCCCACAUCACAAACGCACAGCCCGAACAGUCCCGUGCGUCAGAGAAUACUGUUCUCUAUUCACAAGACUUUUCAACAAUCAGACAUUUUAAGUGUCUCCCUCUGGCAAUGUCUUUUUCGUUUUUUUCACAAGCACGAGCAAAACAGCAUUAGAUGUCUUUGGUGAUACUCUCGCUGUCACGGAUUUUGAAAAAAAUGAUUUUACCUUGUACAUCUGUGAGGAAAGCAGCUCUGGCAGCACCGGUGUUUGUAUCUCUCAUACUGUACGUCUCUUUGAUCAGUUGAUCAGUGGUGUAAUGGUGAAACAAAUUGAAAUCUUUAAUGAUAGAUUUCGUAUGCAAACAAAAGACAUUGGUUUCCUCUGCAUACAUUUACGUUAACGCACACUAACUGCACUUUGCUCAAUUUCCCUUAUAAAUCAAGAACAAGUGUAAGAUGUUACAUGCUAGAAUCUGACAGUGAUCAGCAGGUCUGCUCAGAACAAGCAACCUCUUCUGGACGAUAGUUGUUAUAACAUCAUAGCCUGAAUGCAAUAUUAACAUAGUCCCUUUUUUAAUAAAACCUCAGUAUUGUCUGAUGGGUCAUUUUCAACGUUACUGCCAGUGAGCCACCAGUUGCCCAUCCCUGUGCUAAAAGAUACUACAAAUUAAUAAGGAAAUGAAGUGCAAGGGAUGGAAAUAUGCAAGUGGUUUUGCGCCAGUAGAUGGCAAAUUGUUGGUUUUUUUUUGUUUGUUUUAGAUGUGUCAUUACAUUGAACCAAAAUCAAACAAAACAAGUCUAAUUAUCCUUUAUUAAAAUGUGCAUGUCUACAGUUCUACUAAGUGUUCAGCACUGCAGAGUUUUUAAGCAUCAUUAGCUUUUUCCCAUAAUUGACAAAGCAUCUUUCAUAUUGUGAACAUGCUGUAUGCUUUUUAUCAAGCUAUACAUAAAAGACAACAAUAAUAGCCUAAAAUUUUGUUUUUUUAAUGUCCUAACGUCAAUGUAAUUUGUGGUCAUCACUAACUUUUAUUCAUAAUUCAUCCAGCCCCACCUUUGUUAAACAAGAUUGCCGAACAUGAACGAUGACCUCUCAUUUGGUCAGUCAGCAGAUCUUCGUCCAUGAAUAAGAUGACAUUUUGUUCACAAAUUACUGUAAAGGUACAUUCAGUUAGGUCAGAAACAAGAUGUCUCAGACUCAAUUGACCUACUAAUAGUUC